rnacentral:rRNA from 1 species
GAGGAAGUAAAAGUCGUAACAAGGUCUCCGUAGGUGAACCUGCGGAGGGAUCAUUACACAAAUUAAAAUAUGAAGGCUUCGGCUGGAUUAUUUUUAUCACCCUUGUCUUUUGCGCACUUGUUGUUUCCUGGGCGGGUUCGCCCGCCACCAGGACCACACCAUAAACCUUUUUUAUGCAGUUGCAAUCAGCGUCAGUAUAACAAAUGUAAAUCAUUUACAACUUUCAACAACGGAUCUCUUGGUUCUGGCAUCGAUGAAGAACGCAGCGAAAUGCGAUACGUAGUGUGAAUUGCAGAAUUCAGUGAAUCAUCGAAUCUUUGAACGCACAUUGCGCCCUUUGGUAUUCCAAAGGGCAUGCCUGUUCGAGCGUCAUUUGUACCCUCAAGCUUUGCUUGGUGUUGGGCGUCUUUUGUCUUUGGCCUCGCCCAAAGACUCGCCUUAAAACGAUUGGCAGCCGGCCUACUGGUUUCGCAGCGCAGCACAUUUUUGCGCUUGCAAUCAGCAAAAAGGACGGCAAUCCAUCAAGACUACAUUUUUACGUUUGACCUCGGAUCAGGUAGGGAUACCCGCUGAACUUAAGCAUAUCAAU